AGCGAACGCUGGCGGCAGGCCUAACACAUGCAAGUCGAACGGACCCUUCGGGGUUAGUGGCGGACGGGUGAGUAACACGUGGGAACGUGCCUUUAGGUUCGGAAUAGCUCCUGGAAACGGGUGGUAAUGCCGAAUGUGCCCUUCGGGGGAAAGAUUUAUCGCCUUUAGAGCGGCCCGCGUCUGAUUAGCUAGUUGGUGAGGUAAUGGCUCACCAAGGCGACGAUCAGUAGCUGGUCUGAGGGGAUGACCAGCCACAUUGGGACUGAGACACGGCCCAAACUCCUACGGGAGGCAGCAGCGGGGAAUCUUGCGCAAUGGGCGAAAGCCUGACGCAGCCAUGCCGCGUGGAUGAUGAAGGUCUUAGGAUUGUAAAAUCCUUUCACCGGUGAAGACAAUGACUGUAGCCGGAGAAGAAGCCCCGGCUAACUUCGUGCCAGCAGCCGCCGUAAGAC
rnacentral:rRNA from 1 species